CCACCCGAGACUCAGUGAAAUUGAACUCGCUGUGAAGAUGCAGUGUACCCGCGGCAAGACGGAAAGACCCCGUGAACCUUUACUAUAGCUUGACACUGAACAUUGAGCCUUGAUGUGUAGGAUAGGUGGGAGGCUUUGAAGUGUGGACGCCAGUCUGCAUGGAGCCGACCUUGAAAUACCACCCUUUAAUGUUUGAUGUUCUAACGUGGACCCGUUACCCGGGUUGCGGACAGUGUCUGGUGGGUAGUUUGACUGGGGCGGUCUCCUCCUAAAGAGUAACGGAGGAGCACGAAGGUUGGCUAAUCCUGGUCGGACAUCAGGAGGUUAGUGCAAUGGCAUAAGCCAGCUUGACUGCGAGCGUGACGGCGCGAGCAGGUGCGAAAGCAGGUCAUAGUGAUCCGGUGGUUCUGAAUGGAAGGGCCAUCGCUCAACGGAUAAAAGGUACUCCGGGGAUAACAGGCUGAUACCGCCCAAGAGUUCAUAUCGACGGCGGUGUUUGGCACCUCGAUGUCGGCUCAUCACAUCCUGGGGCUGAAGUAGGUCCCAAGGGUAUGGCUGUUCGCCAUUUAAAGUGGUACGCGAGCUGGGUUUAGAACGUCGUGAGACAGUUCGGUCCCUAUCUGCCGUGGGCGCUGGAGAACUGAGGGGGGCUGCUCCUAGUACGAGAGGACCGGAGUGGACGCAUCACUGGUGUUCGGGUUGUCAUGCCAAUGGCACUGCCCGGUAGCUAAAUGCGGAAGAGAUAAGUGCUGAAAGCAUCUAAGCACGAAACUUGCCCCGAGAUGAGUUCUCCCUGAGACUUAAAGUCUCCUGAA
rnacentral:rRNA from 1 species